CCUACGGGAGGCAGCAGUGAGGAAUAUUGGUCAAUGGCCGGAAGGCUGAACAAGCCAUGCCGCGUGAAGGUCAGUGCCCUAUGGGCGUUAAACUUCUUUUGUGCGGGAGCAAUAAUGGUCACGUGUGGCCAGACGGGAGUACCGUACGAAUAAGCAUCGGCUAACUCCGGGCCAGCAGCAGCGGGAAUACGGGGGAUGCAAGCGUUAUCCGGAUUUAUUGGGUUUAAAGGGUGCGGAGGCUGUGAGGUAAGUCAGCGGUGAAAUGCCCCCGCUCAACGGGGUGAAGUGCCAUUGAUACUGCCGUGCUGGAAUGCGGAUGCCGUGGGAGGAAUGUGUGGUGUAGCGGUGAAAUGCAUAGAUAUCACACAGAACACCGAUUGCGAAGGCAUCUCACGAAUCCGCGAUUGACGCUGAUGCACGAAAGCGUGGGUAUCAAACAGGAUUAGAUACCCCAGUAGUC
rnacentral:rRNA from 1 species